rnacentral:miRNA from 1 species
UAUUGAGUUGGCCAAAAUGUUUGUUCAGGUUUCCCUAUUACAUCUUAUGAAAAGCCCAAAUGAACUUUUUGGCUAACCCAAU